GCCCCCACCCCCCAUCUCACCCCCCAACUCACUCACAGGUUACAGAGGGAUGUGCUUCCGUUUCCUUUUUUUCCCUCCCCUUUGGUCUCAGGUGUGCUCUCAGGGUCCUCUUCUACAAGAUACCCUCAGGACAGCCAUCAUUAUCAGUACCCCCAUCAUAUGCUUUCUAAACUAACCAUCUAAAGUUCCUUCCAUUAUCUACUGUAACAUCUGUCAUGACGAACCUGCUCCUGGUCUGUCCCAUCUUUGAAAGACUUUGCUGAGGGAUGUGCUCUGGUACUUUUAACUCCAGGGACUUUAAAGCACUUGACACCUUGGUAGCCCUUCCCUUCGCCAGAGGAUCUUCCCACUCCAAGGAUCGAACCUCUGUCUCCUGCAUCUCAGGUGGAUUCUUCACCAUCUGAGCCACCAGGGAAACCCAUAACACACUAUACCAACUCUUCAUUAUGUUUAUUAUUUAACUGCCUCCCCUCUCUAGAAUGUCAGACAUCAGGGCAAGAAUCUUUGUUUUGUUCACAUGUGACUACAACAGUGUCUGAUGUCUGAUACAUGAGAAACACUCAAUAAAUAAUUGUUGAGUGAAAGAA